rnacentral:rRNA from 1 species
GACGAAGGGGGCUAGCGUUGUUCGGAAUUACUGGGCGUAAAGCGCGUGUAGGCGGUUGCCCAAGUCGGGUGUGAAAGCCUUGAGCUCAACUCAAGAAAUGCACUCGGUACUGGGUGACUAGAGGACCGGAGAGGAUAGUGGAAUUCCCAGUGUAGUGGUGAAAUACGUAGAGAUCGGCAGGAACGACCCAGGGGGAAACCAGCCGGACUGGCUGCGUUGCUGACACUGAGGUGCGACGAGCGAUCGGGGAGCGAACGGG